AUUGAACGCUGGCGGCAGGCCUAACACAUGCAAGUCGGACGGUAGCACAGAGGAGCUUGCUCCUCGGGUGACGAGUGGCGGACGGGUGAGUAAUGUCUGGGGAUCUGCCCGAUAGAGGGGGAUAACCACUGGAAACGGUGGCUAAUACCGCAUAACGUCGCAAGACCAAAGAGGGGGACCUUCGGGCCUCUCACUAUCGGAUGAACCCAGAUGGGUAUUAGCUAGUAGGCGGGGUAAUGGCCCACCUAGGCGACGAUCCCUAGCUGGUCUGAGAGGAUGACCAGCCAAACUGGAAGUGAGACACGGGCCAGACUCCUACGGGAGGCAGCAGUGGGGAAUAUUGCACAAUGGGCGCAAGCCUGAUGCAGCCAUGCCGCGUGUAUGAAGAAGGCCUUCGGGUUGUAAAGUACUUUCAGCGGGGAGGAAGGCGGUGCGGUUAAUAACCGCGCCGAUUGACGUUACCCGCAGAAGAAGCACCGGCUAACUCCGUGCCAGCAGCCGCAGUAA
rnacentral:rRNA from 1 species